CUAAAAGAUGCGGUAAAGAUGAUGUGGGAGCACUUCUUAUCGUCUGGAAAUACGGUCAUUUGAAUUGGCCACUCUUUAUCAGUGCGUAUGUGUGUGUGAGAGAGAGGAUGUGAAUAAAACUCAUGGUGAUUGUGUGAGUGUCUUGUGAGAAUGUACGAAUUCCUAACUGAGAAUGUAUAUAAGGUCUCAAAAACAUGGGCCCCAUUCUCUUUUUCGCCUUGUGGGAAUGAAUUUGAUAUAUUGCUCUG
rnacentral:lncRNA from 1 species